rnacentral:lncRNA from 1 species
AAAUUCGUUAUUAGAAAAUAAAAAUAGUCUAGACAAUUCAAAAUUUUUGUUAAAACACUCCGAUAAAACAUAUUAGCGAAUUUAUGUUCAUAAAAAUAACUCUUCUUUGACAAUAAUUCUUCUAUGUCAUUUUAUUCAACAUAUAUAUAUUGUAACGUGCAUAUUUAUAUAAUAAUAAGUAAUGAUUACUACAUAUUAUAAAAAUAAACAUUUGAAACUAAAAUAAAUAUUAAAAAUAUAAUGCUAUUUAUUGUCGUUAUAAUUCAAAACAAAGAUAUUUAUUAUUAUGAUCUCAUAAUUUUUUCAUCAUUUGUUUGUUUAUAAUUUUUUAUCUAUAAUAAUUUUUAAAUAC